CCUUUAAGGCCCCUGAAGGAACGUUUAAGACUAAGACGUUGAUAGGCUGGGUGUGUAAGUGCAGCGAUGCAUUGAGCUAACCAGUACUAAUGAUCCGUGAGGCUUAACCUUACAACACCAAAGGUGUUUUAG
rnacentral:rRNA from 1 species